rnacentral:rRNA from 1 species
UACGUAGGGUGCAAGCGUUGUCCGGAAUUAUUUGGGCGUAAAGAGCUCGUAGGCGGCCUGUCGCGUCGGCUGUGAAAACCCGGGGCUCAACCCCGGGCCUGCAGUCGAUACGGGCAGGCUAGAGUCCGGCAGGGGAGACUGGAAUUCCUGGUGUAGCGGUGAAAUGCGCAGAUAUCAGGAGGAACACCGGUGGCGAAGGCGGCCUGCUGGGCAGUUUUGGCUGACACUGAGGCGCGACAGCGUGGGGGAG